ACAGAGGGUGCAAGCGUUAAUCGGAAUUACUGGGCGUAAAGCGCGCGUAGGUGGUUUGUUAAGUUGGAUGUGAAAUCCCCGGGCUCAACCUGGGAACUGCAUCCAAAACUGGCAAGCUAGAGUAUGGUAGAGGGUGGUGGAAUUUCCUGUGUAGCGGUGAAAUGCGUAGAUAUAGGAAGGAACACCAGUGGCGAAGGCGACCACCUGGACUGAUACUGACACUGAGGUGCGAAAGCGUGGGGAGCAAACAGG
rnacentral:rRNA from 1 species